rnacentral:sRNA from 1 species
GGAUACUAGGGUCAAAAGGUCAUGUGUUUCAUAUAUGCAUAAAAAACAUGACGUUGCUACCGCAGAGCAUGAGAAAGUAGGCCGAACAGGGUGGUUUUUGAGUGAUUUUAGGAUUGUGGGAGCAUGAAGUGCGUAAUAAUCCGUAGGUAUUA